GGCUUGCACAUAUGUAUGACUGUAUGCCUCACCACGACCUGGAGGCACCGUGACGUCGUUAACCGGGCGAAAGGGCAGCCGUGCAGGAGGCCUCCCAAACGCUAGUCCUUCUGCGAGCAGCUGCCGCCAGGGACGUCGGGGCCCCCGCUUCCGUUUCAAAUACUGGCCAACCCGUUGAGCACGUGAACGAGAGCACAUAUAUACGCACAUACGAAGUGCACGCCCAAGCCUCUGCCAACGCCACUGUUGGGAGUAACCUGAGAGGACCUUCCAGCGUAACGUUGCUUCCAGCGCUCCCACUGAAC